rnacentral:lncRNA from 1 species
AUCAUAGAAAAUUCAUUUUGCAUCCAAAAAUACCAAAAUAAUUUCUAAAAUUUUAUUUUACUUUUCUUCAUCUGAUUUUUAUUUUUCAACAUUUUAUUUUCUUGAUUUUCUAUUUUUAGUGGACUUUUUUUUUCCCUUUGUUUUGAUUGGUUUUAAAAAAAUAAUUUUAUCCAUUUUUAAUUUCUGAAAAAAAUUAUUUUACGUUUGUUAUUUUAUUUUCAACCUUCCAUAAUUUUCUUAACCAUUUAUUUGGUGUUUUGAAG